AGGAGCUCUUCUGGAGAUCCCUCCUCUGGAGUUUUGCAAUGAGCCCAGGACAAGGAAGUCACAUGGAGACAGGAGGAACAAAGAGAAACAAGAGAAGUAAUAUGGAAAAGCUGUUCAUCCUAUGGGAGAUGCUCCAGUUCACUCAUCUCUGUGGACCUCUCCUGUACCCUCUAGAAGUUCCUGUCUUUCUUGAACUGAGGAGCCCAGAACUGGAUACAGCACUCCAGA